rnacentral:lncRNA from 1 species
AUUUACUGUUUAUGUGUUAGUUUUAUUUCUAUUUAAUAAUUCGUUUGAUAUUUUUUAAUAUUAAAAUUUAAGAACAAUUUUUUAAUUAUAAAAGAAAGAAUUAUAGUUAUCGUAGAUAUAAUAAUGAUACGUGGUGACGAAUUGAGACUCUGUGAUAAGAUAUUGCAGAUUGAGACUUCGUAACAAGAUAUUGUUAGAAAGCUCUCUACUGAAAAUUCUUCCAAACUCUAUAGAAAGAUCCGGAAAGAAAUAAGGAGAGAUUAUGUUCUCUAUUAUUUUGUAACAGAGAUUUUGAUUAGGCCAAUUACGUACCAAAUCUAAUAAAAAAAAAUGAGUAAGUUGAUGUAUGUAUACCAUGUUUUGCAAUUAAUUGUUGAAAUUAGAGAGCAGUGGAAACUUAUAAACUGAAUAGUCAACAUAUCCAGGAACCAAAAACGGAUUGGAUUGCUUGUUUUACUUGUCUUCUUAGAUUGCUCUUUGUAUCGAUGCUGUUGGAUCUUCCACACUCCAAGAGAGAAGAGAAG